UACGUAGGGGCCUAGCGUUGUCCGGAGUUAUUGGGCGUAAAGCGCGUGUAGGCUGCUCCGCAAGUCGGAUGUGAAAGCCCUGGGCUCAACCUAGGAAGUGCAUUCGAUACUGCGGAGCUGGAGUCCUGGAGAGGAAGGCGGAAUUCUCGGUGUAGAGGUGAAAUUCGUAGAUAUCGAGAGGAACACCGGUGGCGAAGGCGGCCUUCUGGACAGUGACUGACGCUGAGACGCGAAAGCGUGGGGAUCAAACAGG
rnacentral:rRNA from 1 species